UGAGGAAUAUUGCACAAUGGGCGAAAGCCUGAUGCAGCAACGCCGCGUGAGGGACGAAGGCCUUCGGGUCGUAAACCUCUUUUCUGGGGGACGAGUAAGGACGGUACUCCAGGAAUAAGUCUCGGCUAACUACGUGCCAGCAGCCGCGGUAAAACGUAGGAGGCGAGCGUUAUCCGGAUUUACUGGGCGUAAAGCGUACGCAGGUGGCUUCGUUAGUCGGACAUGAAAGCUCCUGGCUUAACUGGGAGAGGUUGUUCGAUACUGCGGGGCUUGAGGUUGGGAGAGGGACGUGGAAUUCCCGGUGUAGUGGUGGAAUGCGUAGAUAUCGGGAGGAACACCAGUGGCGCAAGCGGCGUCCUGGCCCACACCUGACGCUGAGGUACGAAAGCGUGGGUAGCAAACAG
rnacentral:rRNA from 1 species